GAUGAACGCUGGCGGCGUGCCUAAUACAUGCAAGUCGAGCGAACGGACGAGAAGCUUGCUUUUCUGAUGUUAGCGGCGGACGGGUGAGUAACACGUGGAUAACCUACCUAUAAGACUGGGAUAACUUCGAGAAACCGGAGCUAAUACCGGAUAAUAUUUUGAACCGCAUGGUUCAAAAGUGAAAGACGGUCUUGCUGUCACUUAUAGAUGGAUCCGCGCUGCAUUAGCUAGUUGGUAAGGUAACGGCUUACCAAGGCAACGAUGCAUAGCCGACCUGAGAGGGUGAUCGGCCACACUGGAACUGAGACACGGUCCAGACUCCUACGGGAGGCAGCAGUAGGGAAUCUUCCGCAAUGGGCGAAAGCCUGACGGAGCAACGCCGCGUGAGUGAUGAAGGUCUUCGGAUCGUAAAACUCUGUUAUUAGGGAAGAACAUAUGUGUAAGUAACUGUGCACAUCUUGACGGUACCUAAUCAGAAAGCCACGGCUAACUACGUG
rnacentral:rRNA from 1 species